rnacentral:rRNA from 1 species
GAUGAACGCUAGCUACAGGCUUAACACAUGCAAGUCGAGGGGAAACGAUAUUGGAAGCUUGCUUCCGAUAGGCGUCGACCGGCGCACGGGUGAGUAACGCGUAUCCAACCUGCCCAUCACUUGGGGAUAACCUUGCGAAAGUAAGACUAAUACCCAAUGACGUCUCUAGAAGACAUCUGAAGGAGAUUAAAGACUUAUCGGUGAUGGAUGGGGAGGCGUCUGAUGAGCUUGUUGGCGGGGUAACGGCCCACCAAGGCGACGAUCAGUAGGGGUUAUGGGAGGAAGGUCCCCCACAUUGGAACUGAGACACGGUCCAAACUCCUACGGGAGGCAGCAGUGAGGAAUAUUGGUCAAUGGGCGAGAGCCUGAACCAGCCAAGUAGCGUGCAGGAAGACGGCCCUAUGGGUUGUAAACUGCUUUUAUAAGGGAAUAAAGUGGGAGUCGUGACUCCUUAUGCAUGUACCUUAUGAAUAAGGACCGGCUAAUUCCGUGCCAGCCGCCGCGGUAA